GACGGGAUGGUUUGGCACCUCGAUGUCGGCUCGUCGCAUCCUGGGGCUGGAGUCGGUCCCAAGGGUUGGGCUGUUCGCCCAUUAAAGCGGUACGCGAGCUGGGUUUAGAACGUCGUGAGACAGUUCGGUCCCUAUCCGCUGUGCGCGUAGGAGUCUUGAGAAGGGCUGUCCCUAGUACGAGAGGACCGGGACGGACGAACCUCUGGUGUGCCAGUUGUUCUGCCAAGGGCAUGGCUGGUUGGCUACGUUCGGGAGGGAUAACCGCUGAAAGCAUCUAAGCGGGAAGCCUGCUUCGAGAUGAGGACUCCCACCCACUUGAUGGGGUAAGGCUCCCAGUAGACGACUGGGUUGAUAGGCCGGAUAUGGAAGCACGGUAACGUGUGGAGUUGACCGGUACUAAUAGGCCGAGGGCUUGUCCUC
rnacentral:rRNA from 1 species